GUGUCUGUAACUCAGUUGGUAGAGUGCCACCACGACAAGGUGGAAGUCAGUGGUUCAAAUCCACUCAGACACA
rnacentral:tRNA from 2 species